UAUGUGAUCGUCUCUCGCAUAUCAAUAAGCGGAGGAAAAGAAACUAACAAGGAUUCCCCUAGUAACGGCGAGUGAAGCGGGAAGAGCUCAAAUUUGAAAUCUUAAAGGGUUUCCCUUUACGAAUUGUAGUUUAAAGAAGUGUUUUCUGUUGAGGUUUUGGUAAAAGUUCUUUGGAAUAGGACAUCAUAGAGGGUGAGAAUCCCGUACUUUGACCUUUACUUUCAACUUUGUGAUACACUUUCAAAGAGUCGGAUUGUUUGGGAAUGCAGUCCAAAAUGGGUGGUAAAUUUCAUCUAAAGCUAAAUAUUGGCGAGAGACCGAUAGCGAACAAGUACCGUGAGGGAAAGAUGAAAAGAACUUUGAAAAGAGAGUUAAACAGUACGUGAAAUUGUCAUAAGGGAAGCGUUUGACACCAGUGUUGUUUUUCUGAAAAUCAAUUAAAGAACUGUUUACUGCUAAGUUGUUUAGACUUUAUCAGCUAACUGUUUAGUUUUGAGCUUUUCUUUAAUGCACUUUUCGGUUAACAAGUCAACAUCAAUUUCUUUUGCUGUAAAAAAGCUUGAGGAAGGUGGCUUGAGAUUCGUCUUAAGUGUUUAUAGCCUCUUGCCUAUGCAGUCGGAGAGAUUGAGGUCUGCAGCGUAGAUCCUUCGGGGCUAAAUGCAUUUGUGCUAAGUUAUAGCAUUUUAUAGACAACUUGUUGACUAUGAUUUGUCUUGUAGCUUACUCGCUUAUGUUAUUUUACCUACGCUUAGGAUGUUGAUCUACAGAGCGAGAGU
rnacentral:rRNA from 1 species